AAGGUAAAGCUGGCUACAUAACGU
rnacentral:miRNA from 1 species